AAGAAAGUAAGUGCCGCCCCGCACAGGGGCAGUGCCAAUAGACCACCGUGAAAUCAAGGAAAGGCCAAGGGGUUUAAACGGCGAAAGAACCCACGCACCUUCGAAACCUAC
rnacentral:sRNA from 1 species